GUAUUUACAUUGCAAUCCUAACACAUAUACUAAAACUGGAACGAUACAGAGAAGAUUAGCAUAGCCUUCAGUGAGGAUGACAUGCAAAUUCAUGAAAGGAAAGUAACUGUG